UGUCGUGAGGCGGAAUCUGAAGAAAGCCGGAUUUUAGGGGUUGAAAGGUCCCUUAAUGGGCAAAACUCUGGCCUGACAAACAGGUUUCGCUCAUAAGGCCGAACACAAGGGUAAGUUUGCAUAACAAAACAAAGCCCAGUAGCUACACGGAUUGCGUUCGGUAGAUGCGGCAGGUAAAGAGGGAAAGAACG
rnacentral:ncRNA from 1 species